AAAUAGUCUUGUCCAUGUGGACAUUGGUGCCCAAAUGAGAAAAAUAGUGUAUAUAUCCCGACCACUUAAAAGUCAUGCUUUUUCUGAGAGAACCUCUGAGCUCGAAAGACUGUGAAAUAGUAUGUCUGCCUGUACCAGAAUCUUUCCUGAGUAGAGAAUUUCAUCAGGAAGGAAGAGGCCCAGAGCAUGCACAUAUGUUGAACUCUUGAAGGGCACCCAGUUUGAAAGAGAACAUCAAAGGCCUGAAUCACUGUGAAACAUGCUGUCUGCAAGUACUAGAACACUUCCUGAGAGCAAGGGACACUGCCAAACCACUAGAGCAAAAGUUAUGAUGGAUAAAGAGACAGGUGUUCUGGUGACCUGUAACCCCAUCAGGAGCCCUGAGGGUCACCUCCUGCUAAACCAAACAUAACCUUUAUCAGUGAAGGUCACUCCUGAGAAACCCUGUUGAGAAACCCUGCAGACAGGAAAGCCAAGGAGGCCUCCUCCUUCCCAUUGUCAUUGUCUUUUAAGGGAGCUUGAACAGGUUGGCUCCUACAGACUUCUUAAAAAGCCUGGAACACUCUGCUAAUUCUGUGUUCCCGUACUCUUCAACUGAGUCAAGAGAAGAAAACAGAUAUUUGGAACUCUGAUCCAAUCAAAUUAAUAUUCUGGUGAUCAGAAGCCAAGACUGUACAGAGAUUUCUGAGGCCUCUCCAGGAAUUCUGUCCAGAAUCACGCUCUGGAGGACUUCAGUGUGCGAGAAUGUACAGUACAUUGGAUGGACUCUGGGGUCUAAGGAAUGAAGUUUGUCCUCAUUAGGACAAAAAGAUACAAGAGGAACGCCCGAGUACAUAUAGAACACAGGGUGCCAUGAUGUGGAGCCCGAAGACAAGGGAGGCUGCUGAACACUCUAAUGCCUGUAUGAGUGAACUUGGACAUGAACAGUGUAGCUGGAUCUGUUUGCCUUCAGUUCAAGCUGCAAUGUUGUCACCAUCUCCUCUUUAAGCCCAUGUAUCCUUGACAAGGUUGUUCUGCCCUUCAAGCUCAUAUGAUGGUUGUGCAUGUAGGAGACCUAGCCUUCUGUCACCAAGGAAACAGAAAGCAGAGGAGGAAUGUGACCGUGGGAGGCUGCAGGCAAAAGUGAUGUGGGGCCACAACUGUACCUGGAAGCUACAUGGUACAAUCCCUGAGGCCCUGUUCAGACCUUCAUUCUAUUCUGGUGUCUUCCUAGUGACAGCCCUGCUAGCCAAUGACAACAACUUCUCCCUGAUCUUCCCCAGCCUUGCUUCCCAGUCCUGAGACUUGAAGAGCACAGAGGAAGGCCUCUUGUAGGUCAGUCACUGGCUCUGGACCAUUGACCACUACCACUGCUUUUACUUGGGAUGGUGUUCAAAUUGUGGGAUGUCUGAGAAAGCUGGGUUCCACGUUUUUGCUAUGCAACCUGUUCCUCACGUCCUGGACUUUGCCGGCUCCAGUCCUCAGGUACUAUCAUGGAAGCCAUUACUCUCUCCACAGUCCUGUCAUUCUUACCCACAAAUAGUAAGGAUGUAGAUUCACUGUAGAUGUGAGCACAGCUUGUAAACUGUCUAUGUGAAUUGGUGUCAUCUGUCCUUUUGUCAGUUGCCAUUCAGUAAGCAUUGUGACGUGUAAGGCUCUCAGGAGAAGCCAGAUCCCAGUGGCAUUAGUGUGACAAACAAGCUGUGCCCAAGGAGCUGACACUCUGGCAGAGUCCAGGACAUCCAGGAAGACAGAGGUGGUGAGAUAUCACCAACUAUGACUCUGACAUCCAAUGAAGCAGUCGAGGGCCAUGAUGCUUUUCUGACUGAGGCAACACAGCCUGGAGCCCAAAUCCCGAGGCUGUGCACCAAAGUCCUUCCGUUUGUCACUGAUCCUGGUGCUUUCCCACAAGAAGUUGCUCAAUGUGGCUACCAGGGAGGCCAAACAUAAGCCUGUGUCUGCAGACAGGAGGGCACCAACAAUGUGUCAAGCAACCUCAUCUGCAUCGUCACAAGCAUCUGCAGUGUCGUUUGACAGUUGUGGAGCCCCUCCCACCAAUAAAGCUUUUGUAGGUGAAGAACCUGAAGGAUCUGAGGCUGUGCCAGUACAUGCUGGAGAAAUACUUGACUGGACUCGGGAGUAGGAGCCUAGGCAUUGGCCCACAGAUGUGCUGUUCUCCUUCUUUGGAUACCCGUCGCAACAACACAAUCUUCUCUGUCUACUGGAGUUGUCUUGGUUGUAGAUUUGGAGAUCCUCAAUCUCUCAGCUUAGUUCUCUAACGUUAAGUCAUAUCGACUCUUAGCAUAGUACUUUAUUUGCCACUGUUCUUUCUACCUUUAUUUUGCCAGAACUUUCUAUGGGUAAGACAUUCCUUCUGUAACAUUUUAUGAUGUGUAAGACCACACAAGGGUACCCAGAGCCCAUACACAAUGUGCUCUUAUUAUCCUGUGAGAAGUCCAAGCCAGUAACCCAAUCUUAACUCAGUGGUGAGAAGGAACCUAAAACUCAGAACAGGACUUGUUUUCAUUCCUUUCUUGUUAGUAUCAUUCACAACUUCUGUAGAAGGUGGGAGUCCAGAAAGCAAAGGGCGGGAUUUUCUCACAUGAUCUUGACCCAUGUUGGGUUUUCUGUCUUCCAUCUCCACCUUUAACAUUUAAUAUACCACAUCUCUCCAAAGGUCAUGCCUAUUCUAGUGUGCUGCACUCAGUGAAGAAGUUGGAGUAAGCGUCAAAAGAGUGAAGGCCAAGCUCUGACUGUGACAGAGAGUUUGAGAUAGACAACUGAUGCUUUGAAAAACACUUGACUUCUCGCUGGGACCUCCAUCUACUGUAAAUAACCAACAACCUGUUCAAGGAUCAAUGUGCCUCUGAGAUGAGGACAACAAGGUAGAAGGGAGUCCACAGAAGGAAACGGGUCUGAGGGCUAACACCAUAACGCUUCCAAUUCUGUCUUCUAGGCAUCACUAACAAAUCUAUAUAGUCCUACCUCCCAGAAGAUGAGUGAAGGUGUUACAGUUAGGAUGAUUGUUGACAUGAGGCUCUCAGAGGUUCUCCACAAAUCUGAAGGACAAGAUUGAGAUUGCCAUUCUUAUGGUCUUUCCAUAGUCUCCCCUUGCAAUCAGAAUGGACCAUCACUAUGGACCUCAUCUAUUAGAUGCAGGUUGUCUAGCAAGCCUCUGGACAGGCAGCAUGGCAGAAAUCAACUCUUUCCAAAAAAAAGGCUGCUGCUGACACAGUGGAUAGAGCACACACAAGCUCCCUGUCUGACUCCUUCAGCUCCUGCAUGUCUCCUUGGCUAACAUUUCAGAGCUUCUGAUUCUUCAGACAUCAGCUUCUUGAUACUGAAGAGAUUGUUCUACCUGAUGAGCCCAGGCCUAGAAGAUGGACUGCAUCCAAGAAGCCUG
ensembl:lncRNA